rnacentral:rRNA from 1 species
GACGAACGCUGGCGGCGUGCCUAAUACAUGCAAGUCGAACGGAGUGGCGAACGGGUGAGUAACACGUGGGUGACCUGCCCUGCAAUUCGGGAUAAGCCUGGGAAACUGGGUCUAAUACCGGAUAGUGUGGGAUGGGCCCGCUGCCUAUCAGCUUGUUGGUGGGGUAAUGGCCUACCAAGGCGGGGACGGGUAGCCGGACUGAGAGGGUGGCCGGCCACAUUGGGACUGGGACACGGCCCAGACGCCUACGGGAGGCAGCAGUGGGGAAGAUGGCACAAUGGGCGGAAGCCUGAUGCAGCGACGCCGCGUGGGGGAUGACGGCCUUCGGGUUGUAAACUCCUUUCACCAUCGACGCGGUAGAUGGAGAAGAAGCACCGGCUAACUACGUGCCAGCAGCCGCGGUAAUUC